rnacentral:rRNA from 1 species
GCAAGUCGAACGGAGGCCCUAGCUUGCUAGGUGUCCUUAGUGGCGCACGGGUGAGUAACACGUGGGAACAUACCUCAUAGUACGGAAUAACUGCGGGAAACUGUAGCUAAUACCGUAUACUCCAGUAAUGGGAAAGAUUUAUCGCUAUGAGAUUGGCCCGCGCAAGAUUAGCUUGUUGGUGAGGUAAUGGCUCACCAAGGCUCCGAUCUUUAGCUGGUUUGAGAGGACGAUCAGCCACACUGGGACUGAGACACGGCCCAGACUCCUACGGGAGGCAGCAGUAGGGAAUAUUGGACAAUGGGGGAAACCCUGAUCCAGCAAUGCAGCGUGAGUGACGAAGGCCUUAGGGUUGUAAAACUCUUUCAUCGGUGAGGAUAAUGACAGUAGCCGAAGAAGAAGGACCGGCUAAUUCCGUGCCAGCAGCCGCGGUAAUACGGAAGGUCCUAGCGUUGUUCGGAAUUACUGGGCGUAAAGCGCAUGUAGGCGGAACAAAAAGUUAGAAGUGAAAUCCCUGNGCUCAACCUAGGAAUUGCUUUUAAAACUUUUGUUCUGGAAU